UACGUAGGGGGCAAGCGUUGUCCGGAUUUAUUGGGCGUAAAGAGCGUGUAGGCGGCUUUACAGGUCCGUUGUGAAAACUCGAGGCUCAACCUCGAGACGCCGGUGGAAACCGUAAAGCUAGAGUCCGGAAGAGGAGAGUGGAAUUCCUGGUGUAGCGGUGAAAUGCGCAGAUAUCAGGAAGAACACCCGUGGCGAAGGCGGCUCUCUGGACCGAGACUGACGCUGAGGCGCGAAAGCGUGGGGAGCAAACAGG
rnacentral:rRNA from 1 species